rnacentral:tRNA from 5 species
GGGCCGUUAGCUCAGUUGGUAGAGCAUCGGACUUUUAAUCCGCUGGUCCCGCGUUCGAGUCGCGGACGGCCCACCA